UCGGUUUGUAGGUCUNUUCGCCGGGGAGAAUUUGCAUUUCCUAAUACGAGUGGGAUGACGGUNCCGAAAUAAGAGGCNCCGCUAACUACGUGCCAGCAGCCGCGGUAAUACGUAGGGUGCGAGCGUUAAUCGGAAAUACUGGGCGUAAGGCGUGCGCAGGCGGUUGAUAAGACAGGCGUGAAAUCCCCGGGCUUAACCUGGGACUGCGCUUGUGACUGUCUCACUAGAGUACGGCAGAGGGGGGUGGAAUUCCACGUGUAGCAGUGAAAUGCGUAGAGAUGUGGAGGAACACCGAUGGCGAAGGCAGCCCCCUGGGCCGAUACUGACGCUCAUGCACGAAAGCGUGGGUAGCAAACAGGAUUAGAUACCCUGGUAGUCCACGCCCUAAACGAUGUCAACUAGGUGUUGGGUGGGUAAAACCAUUUAGUACCGUAGCUAACGCGUGAAGUUGACCGCCUGGGGAGUACGGCCGCAAGGUUAAAACUCAAAGGAAUUGACGGGGACCCGCACAAGCGGUGGAUGAUGUGGAUUAAUUCGAUGCAACGCGAAAAACCUUACCUACCCUUGACAUGUCCAGAAGCCCGAAGAGAUUUGGGUGUGCCCGAAAGGGAGCUGGAACACAGGUGCUGCAUGGCUGUCGUCAGCUCGUGUCGUGAGAUGUUGGGUUAAGUCCCGCAACGAGCAUCGAC
rnacentral:rRNA from 1 species